AUCAGAUAUUGAAGUUGGCUCUUCUUUCUUUGAUUUUACAGCCACAUAAUAAGCACUUUUUACUAAAAAAAACACCAUUUUUGGAUAAUUUCGAGCCCCACAAUUCCGCACAAGGAAAUGUCUGGAAGAAACGUUUAUGAAUCUGCUGAACUUCCUAACUAGAAAAUGUGUUGUUUAACGCAUUAGUAUUCCGCUUUCCCUCACUUAUCAACUACUUCACGCAAAAUAUAUCAAUAGCUUCCCGUUGUGAAGAAAUAACCCCUCCUUUCUCCCACUAGGUACCCAUGGAUCACAACACACCCUUGUCGUGUUCACAUCCCUAACAAUUCGCUUCACUCCUUUUUUUAGUACACUUCUUGCCUGCAAUAUAGAGCGGCAUGUGAAGCUGGCGUUGGGCUUCAAUGGCUUCCAUGAAGGUUGAGUUAGUGAAAUAUUUUCUUUUAAGAACCUUUGGCACAACAGAAGUUUCAUUAGUUAAUAUUCUCUAACCUUUCUUUGCAAACAAGGCAAGAUUAAAGGCCUCAAAUUCACACAGCCUUAGGCCCCUUCUCUCUUUGAUUUACACAAUUUUUCCCAUGAAACACAAAUAACCUUCCUUUCACUCUCCUUUUGACCCAAAAAAGGUCCCGACUUAGCUUCUCCAACUCAUUAAUGAUUGAAAGAGGGGUUUGAAAACAUUACAUUGUGUACAUCGAAAUGGCUUAAGCCACCGACUUUAUAAGCACUUUUCUUCCCGCUUGUGAAAGAUAUUUUUCCUUCCAUCCUUUGACGUUGUUCCACAUCCGAUCUUGAAUAAUUUGGAAAACUUUCUUAUUAGAGCUUUCUACAUAAGUGGGGAGCCCCAAGUAUCAAUCAUGAUCUUCGAGAACCUAAAUAUUAACUUCUCAAGAAGCACGUUUUCUUUUCAAUAUCCACAUUUCGGCUAAAAGAGACCAUCGAUUUUUCCGUAUUCAAUUUCUACGCGGAAGCUGCCACAUAAAUAGUGAGAAUAACAAGUACCAACCUUUAUCCCAUGAUCUGCUUCUUUUUCUCAACAUCUUUUAACAAUGAUGAUGAACCCUGAGCAUAAAAAUGAAAAACAAGGUGAUAGGGGAUCCCCUUGUCUUAACCCUCGACUUGGCUUGAAACAUCUACAAGGUUGGCUAUUGACAAGAAUCAAAAAGAGGAACUCCAUAUGCAUUCAUUAUCUGUUCAAUAAAACCAUAUGGGAGCCCAUUUUCCCAUCAUUUUUAUAAAAAAAAAAACCCAUUCUACGCUCUCACAAGCCUUACUCAUGUCUAAUUUGAGAGCCAUAUCCCUUUUAACCUCUUCUUCUUUUUUCUUAAGUAAUGGAAAUAUUCAUGGACAACCAAUAAAUUAUCCGUAACUAAUCGCCCCGGAACAAAACCACUUUAAGCUUCACUAAUAACAUGAAGGAAAAUCUUCUUCAAUCUAUUUGCUAGAGUUUUAGCAAUGACCUUGUACAUCACAUUACAUGGACUAAUUGGUCGAAAAUCUUUAGGCGACUCGCACAUUUUUCAUAUUAAGAAUAUUCAAAGCAUCACUAAUCAUAUUCCCCUACAGUUUCCCAAAACUUUUGGAAAAAAAAAGCAGACAUAUCGUCGGGUCCCAAGAGCUUUCUGAAAAUCUUUAGUUGUUUGUGACUGCCAAGGCUUAGUCGGUUUCUACUUCCGGUAGUUACAAAACCACCAUUGCAUGCUUCCGCUCUCUCUCUCUCCUAAACAUCAGAUAUGCUUCUUGCGGUCUGACCUCGGGCCUCCCUGGUUACUUCAUUGAGGGCCACACUCCUUGACUCCAAUCUUGCAAAAUACAGAGAACUAAUGUGGAGCCUAUCAAAAGGAGGAGAAGAGAAACUGAGUUAUAGCUACCUACAAUGUACCGAGGGGCUAUGUCUUGAUAUUCGAGUAUGGACCAGAUUGUGAAAAUGCGUUAGUUAGUUGGUUAUGAUUAACUGUUAGCACAUUAGAUAUCACAUACAUUAAUCAUGUUCUCGUUUUCUGAUUGCCAAAUGUGUACAAGUAUUAUCUCAUGAAAAGAAAAAAAAAAGAAGAAGAAGACAAACCUGCUGGUUGCAGGCUAUGCAGAGAACAGCGAUGGCAGGUGAGUUAACAUGGCUCAGCUGAGUUAAGAAAAUAGCAGGUCCAAGGAAAACCAAGUGUUUGCAUAAUUUGUUUUAUGUCAAAUAUAUGAUAAGUUUGCAAUCACAACACCAUGCUAAUAAAGUGGUUUAAGCAAGAAUGCAUGUUAGCAAGUUUAAUGAGUUAACACAAACAGAAUAUAUAGCACAAGUAGUUAAAUGACAAGAGACAAUGAGUCAUAAGCAAAAGUUCCGUUAACAAGCGAAUGAGAACAAAAAGAAAUUGUAUAUUAAAAAAUGGAAAGAUACAAGCCAAAAAAAAAUAAAAUGAAACAGUUCCAACACAAUAACAAAUUCUUUUAAGAGUGUGGAUAGGUUAUGCUUGCGAAGGAGGAGGUGGAGGAACUUCGGCUUCAUAAAAUUCUUCAAAUGCAGCUUCCUCUAUGUACUUUAUGAUAUACUAGUAAAAUAAUUGCUUAUUGCUGCGGUUUUACUAAUACGCGGCAAUAUAUCAUGUAAAAAGAAAGAUAAAAUAUAAAAUAAAGAUAUUGCUGCAGUUUUGGCCUAAAACCGCAGCAAUAUGGUAUCAAGUAUCAACAACAAAUUUUUUGAAGAAAAGUUGACUAUUUGACCAGAUAUAUUGCUGCGGUUUUUGUCAAGAACUGUAGCAAUAUAUUAAAAAAAAUGAACUUCUAUAUUAUCGCCCCAUAAUUACUUGAAAUCGCCCAAAAAAAAUUUGAAAUGUCAUUUAUAACCUUUUCUUCUCCCUAAAUCACCACCUACCUCCUUCCAUCACCAACCACCGCAGCCCCAACGUCACCCUCACCCUCUCCCCCACCCCCACCAGCAGCACACCACCCCCACAAGCAACCCUCCACCCCCUGCAAUCCCCACGAGCAGGCCCUACCUGAAAAUUUAAAUUUUCCCCCACCAAAAGAUCACAGAUCAAAAAAUCCACGCACCCUUAAAAUGGACAAAGGUGAAGCCGUCGGUGAACCAUGGCGACCCGACCACCACCUGCGAUUUACCCAGAUUCGAGCUCGCGCCCCACCGACUGCUUAUUCCUACCACGAGCGACGCCUCAAUAGAUACGUGCAUCAAACAGAGAUAAAGCAA